rnacentral:rRNA from 1 species
GUAGUCCACGCCGUAAACGAUGUCGACUUGGAGGUUGUUCCCUUGAGGAGUGGCUUCCGGAGCUAACGCGUUAAGUCGACCGCCUGGGGAGUACGGCCGCAAGGUUAAAACUCAAAUGAAUUGACGGGGGCCCGCACAAGCGGUGGAGCAUGUGGUUUAAUUCGAUGCAACGCGAAGAACCUUACCUACUCUUGACAUCCAGCGAACUUAGCAGAGAUGCUUUGGUGCCUUCGGGAACGCUGAGACAGGUGCUGCAUGGCUGUCGUCAGCUCGUGUUGUGAAAUGUUGGGUUAAGUCCCGCAACGAGCGCAACCCUUAUCCUUUGUUGCCAGCGAUUCGGUCGGGAACUC